AGAGUUUGAUCCUAGCUUAGGAUGAAUGCUAGCCACAUGAUCGUACAGGAAGUGGUGUUUCUAGUAGUUAACGGAUGAGUAACGCAUAAGAAUUUGCCCUUGGGAGGGGAACAACAGUUGGAAAUGACUGGUAAUACCCUGUAGGCUAAGGAGCCAAAGGAGGAAUCUGCUCAAAGAGGGGCUUGCGUCUAAUUAGCUAGUUGGUAAGGCAAUAGCUUACCAAUGCGGUGAUCAAUAGCUAGUCCGAGAGGAUGAUCAGCCACACUGGGACUGAGACACGAACAAGACUCCUAUAGGAGGUAACAGUGGGGGAUUUUUCGCAAUGGGCAAAAGUCUGACGAAGGAAUGCCGCGUGGAAGUAGAAGGCCCACGGAUUGUGAACUUCUUUUCCCAGAGAAGAAGCAAUGACAAUAUCUGGGGAAUAAGCAUUGGCUAACUCUGUGCCAGUAGUCGCAAUAAUAUAGAGGAUGCAAAUGUUAUCUGGAAUGAUUGGGUGUAAAGCGUCUAUAAGUGGCUUUUUAAGUUCGCUACCAAAUCUCAGGGCUCAACCUUGGAUAGGUGAUGGAAACUACCAAGCUGGAGUAUGAUAGGGACAAAGGGAAUUUUCAGUGAAGGGGUGAAAUGUGUAGGAAUCAGAAAUAACACCAAUAACGAAAGCAUUUUGCUAGGUCGGCACUGACACUGUGAGACGAAAGUUAGGGAGCAAAUGGGAUUAGAUACCCCAGUAGUCUUAGCUGUAAACGAUGGAUACUAAGCGCUAUGCGUAUUGACCCAUGAAAUGCUGUAGCUAACACGUUAAGUAUCCUAACUGGGGAGUACGUUCGUAAGAAUGAAACUCAAAGGAACUGGCGAGGGCCUGCACAAACGGUGGAGCAUGUAGUUUAAUUCGAUUCAAAUUGAAGAACCUUACCCAGACUUGACAUGCCACGAAUCCUCUUGAAAGAGAGGGGUGCCUUAAGGAAUACAGACAGGUGGUGCAUUACUGUCGCCAGUUUGUGCCGUAAAGUAUUGGGUUAAGUCCCGCAAUCCUUGUGUUUAGUUGCCACCGUUGAGUUUGAAACCUUAAGAAAACUGUUGGUGAUAAGCCGGAGGAAGGUGAGGAUGACGUCAAGUUAGCAUGUCCCUUAUGCCUUGGGUGACACACGUGCUACAAUGGACGGGACAAAGGGUCGCAAUUCCGCAAUGGUGAGCUAACUCCAAAAACCCGUUCGCAAUUCGGAUUGUAGGCUACAACUCACCUGUAUGAAGCCAGAAUCACUAGUAAUUGUCGGUCAGCUAUACGACAGUGAAUUCGUUCCUGGGGUUUAUACACACUGCCUGUCACACUAUCGGAACUAGUCAUGCCCAAAGUCGUUACCUUAAUCGCAAUGAGAGGGAUGCCGAAGGUAGGGCUAAUGACCUGAGUGAAAUCGUAACAAAGUACCCUUAUUAUAUUAUAUAAAAA
rnacentral:rRNA from 1 species